GCUCUGUGUUGCUGCCGCUGUCUCUGUAUCUUCUCACUGCAGAACUUCAGACAUUUCCGCACCCUCUGGGUCCUAAAGACCACUUUCUUCUUCCCCUCACUUCAGGGAAAAACACUUGGCAGUGUUCGCUGAGGGAGUGGUUUCAUACUUCUCACUGCAGAAUUUCAAACCUUUCUGCACCCUCUGGGUCCUAAAGACCAUCUCCUUCUUCCCCUCACUUUAGGCUGAACCAGACCUGGACUCCACCCCACCAAGACACUGACGUGCGGAAGGCAGAGCAGCAGAACAGGAACCAGCUGAACCGUCAGUCCUAACUGUCCCGGAACGACCCCCUCCGCCAUAUCUUCCCCUGACCGAAGUUUCAUCAAUGUCAAAAAAUGGUUCCGGAUGCACUGUUUCCCCCAACGAACCUUCAUCUUCCCCGGACGAAGCAAUCUCAAGCCCCAUCCGACCUGAUAAACGGGGUCAGGGUGCAUGAAACCUUCAGCUGCCCCAUGGUGGAAGUUUCUGGACCUGAUGGAAUGGUCUUGGUCCACCGCCCAUGGACGAUGGAUGAAACUGUGUGUGGGAUGGGAAACUGCAGUAUGCAGUGCAUGCUGAGAAACUGGUGAAGGAAGCUGAACAUAAAAAGAUGGAAAAGAGAUCUAAAGACUUCCACAGUGCCGCCUUAACCAUGUUUCAGCACUUCCAAGGCCAAGGUGGAGAGAGAGGAAGAGGAUGUGGGGGAGGACGAAGCAGAGGCCAACACAGAGGCCAACACAGACUGAAUCUGAAGGAUGUGAUCUGCUGGAACUGCAAGGAAAAAGGCCACUUUGCCAAAGACUGCACCACGGAAUGGAAAGAAGAAGAGAAAGCCAAGGCUGACUGAUGGGCAGAGGACGAGGAUGGUGAGGCGACUGAGAACGGGAGGGGUAAUGUAGACCAAGAACACACACAUAACACAAAUUUGUCAUUUUUACAAUACACAGCUUUCCCUUUCACCCAGCUGCCAUGUAUACCUCUGACAGUUGAGGGAAGGAAAAUACUGGUUCACUCGGGAGCAACCCACUCAGUAAUACAAAUGGCUGAAUUUCAUGAGAAUCCAAAACUCAGCAACUGCAGUGUUCGCACUGGGCACUCAGCAGUGGAACAUUUCAGUGAACCAUUGGGGUGCGAGACUGAGAAGGGGUGAAAAAAAGAAUAUUUUUUUUCUUAUCUCAAGCACAUGUCCCAUAAACCUGUUGGGAAGGGAUUUGAUGUGUGCACUGAGCCUCUCCCUAGAGUCGGCACCACAAGGGGUCACUGUCAUAGAAAAUAGACUGAAUUGUGUCAAAGUAGGACCAGGAAGUCCUCUCUAUGUAUAUGAGUGGAAGUUGUGUCCCGACCCAACCACGAAAAUGGCAGAAUUUUUGAUGGAAAAGGCAAUAGAAAAAUUGAGUGGGGAACAGAAUAUUGAGUAUAUGUCUCCUCCCGACCUCCAUUGCACAGCUCAUGUGCAUGAGGGAAAGGACGAGACAUGUGAAAAAGAAUGGUUCAGGGUAAAGUGCCUGAAUGAAAAAUUGUGAAUAACAGAACUGUACUGGGACAAACAUUUUUGUGCAUGCCUAGUCGAACUGACUGGAUCAGAUGAGCUUAAUUGUGAGUGUAAUCAGAAGCAAAUGCUUUGUGUGGAACACUCAGCUCCACGCAUCUCCCUAGCUAAACCAGCAGCAGUUACAUGGAAGGCAAUAGGCCCAUGGAUGCGGAGAUGUUCUGAUCCUAGGGUGUCCGACUGGACGCUCACAGAAACCCCAGGUAUUUGGUUCAGUGCUAGUGCAUUGUUGACACACAGUAAAAGGGGAAUUGAACUUGCACCAGAAUGUCAGACUACAGGCCUAGACAAGCACAACACCCACUUAGGGCUGGGCGAUAAAACGAUAACGAUAAUUAUCGCGAUAUAACUUUUCCUCGAUAGAGCGAUACGACAUGUUCGAUAAAUGUUCGAUAUAAUACACCAUUCUCACACUUCCACGAUCAGCGAAAGCCUUGGUGCCGUUUUCUACCGCAAGGAAAGCGACACUACUGUGCUGUCGCCAGGAGAGGGCGCACUUCCGAGUUUUUGUACAUGAUUAGAGAGGGAGGGGGCCACGAGUAAGAUGAGUCUUUAGCAACGGCUGAAACGCAGAGUUAUACAUUCCCUGUUUGAGUGGAGCGACAGGCGAUCUGUUCUCCUGUGACCGAGUGUGAGUGACGAGGUCAGUGGUGUAACUUUACUGUCCUACAGAGAACUCACCUGUUUCUGUACAUCCUAACCAGCUUUAGCAGCGUUAAAUCACAAUCCUCACAGCUACAGCGCUGUAACAGCGCUCGGACAGUCAUAUUUAAGUAUGAGUGCAUUCCCAAGCAACGAAAAUGAAAGAAAGAAGUGAGUUCAUGCAGUUACGGCGCUGAUGUAAACAAAAGUAAACUGAGGAAGCUGUGAGGCAUUGGAAAGCGGGAGAGCGCUAGCUUUCCAGGCUAGCUGUUUUUAGCAGCUGGCUAACUUAAAGCAGCGCUUCGUCACUGCACGACACGGAGAAUUAAUGACACUGUAGAUCAAACUCGACACAAAAGCACCGCUUUCAGUUUAAACAUACCUAAAAGGAGGACUCUGUUUGUCUGGUGUUGAUAUUUUGCGG